AAAUAAAAUAAAAAAACCCAAAUCCUACCCACCUCUCUCAUUCCUCUCAACCCUUUCUCUUUCAUCUCUUUCACUCUAACCUUUUCUCUGUCAUCCCUACUCUAGCCCCAAUUGAAAAAAAUCAGGCCUUAUUUUAAUAAUUUUCAUUCUCAAAACUAAAAAAAGAAAUCACAAACCCUUACUCACCCCCUUCAUUCCUCUCAACCCUUUCUCCUUC
rnacentral:lncRNA from 1 species